UAACCGGUCAUCCAUGAGCUGUGUGGGAAAUGCAUAAAGAUUGGGAUCACUGAAUUACGUCAGAAAUCUUGAAGGUACAAAAACAGAUAGCAGAGGAUGGUUUCGAUCCAUCGACCUCUGGGUUAUGGGCCCAGCACGCUUCCGCUGCGCCACUCUGCUGCAGCUGAAGACAGUUGACUGUUACGUGUAUUCGUUUUUUUUAAAAAGCAUAAAAAAGGACUAGGUUUAAUUUCCGAGUUCAGACUCCGCUUCAGGUCCCAAAGUCAAACACACACUGCGGCAUCACUGAGAGUUAAAAACUGUCUAAAUUCUUUCAUUUUUAAUAAAAUGAUCAGUGUGGCUGAUCUUUUUAUUUAAUGACCAUUCGAGCUCGAAUGCACAUUGGAUAUGCUUUUGGCAGACUGAAAGCGCGGUUCGGGGCAUUGUGGACAUUAAUCUAAAUGCCCCCGCGCGAUGCUUGGGUUUGUUUAGCUAAACGGCCCUAAACUGUUUCCCAUUCAUUCUCUAUGGUAGCGCUAAAGCACUACGGGUGUGAUAUAUUUUUGGCCACUACGGUCUUCCGGCGCUGUUGCGAGUUUGAGAUGCGGCGGCACUUUGAAAAAAUCUCCUCUUUUACGUUUCGGGAGAGAAAACAAGUAACUCACCUCUCGCAACACAUCCCAACGCUCCUCAUUCAUUGAUCAAAGAUGCACAAAGGUUUGUUGCGCCAUAUCCAGGGAAAAUCUCUGUGGCGUUCCGCAAGGGGCCACUUGGAUACCUUCUCCAGGACUCGUCAAAAGAAGCUCGACGGAUUAAAAAUGACCCCAAGCUUCAGGACAAGUCUGCACCUGUGAGGGAGGACGAUGCUCUGACUGUCAUCUAUCAGAGAGGAGGGGAUGCCUCCAACAUGAAGGAAGUGCAGGGAGAGUACAUCCUGCAGUUUGGAAAAUAUAAAGGGAAAUCUUUCCGGUGGCUUCUGGAGAAUGAUGUCGGGUACACCAUGUACCUGAUCAAAGAUCUCAGGAAAGAAGUGGAUGCAGGGACCUCUUUGGAAGAAGGGCAUGGCAAGGAGAGCUUGCAUUCAUUUGUACAGUAUACCCUCAGCUUUGCAGAGAUAAAAGCUCUUCUGGACUAUGAGGCCAGCAGAGUGAGUGUUGCUGCAAAAGCCUCUGAGGAUGAUCAGCUGGUUGGCUUUGGCUCAUGAGCCAAGAGCACCUGGAAGGAGAUUUGGGACGGCAGAGGUGACAGCUAUGCAGACCUUAUCAUGAGGAAGAGCUGCAGUCAAGGAACACGGAUGCAUAAGCUGCAGCAGUCUGCGCCUGCUUCCACAAAUGCUCCAACUAAACCCCUGGGGAUGGAUGAGGAUAAAGACCUGGAGGACGCAAUGCUGAGCAUGUCACCUGUAAAACUACACAAGCAGAGCUUCACUGUGCCAGCAGCAGGGUCCACACCCAGAGGAGCUUCAGGAGCAAACACAGGUUUUCAAAUGAAAGGUUUCAGAACUGGAGUACAAUUGUUUUACAUAAUAAUAAUGGAUUGGAUUUAUA